CAGCAGCCACGGGAAUACGGAGGAUCCAAGCGUUAUCCGGAAUCAUUGGGUUUAAAGGGUCCGUAGGCGGUCUUGUAAGUCAGUGGUGAAAGCCCAUCGCUCAACGGUGGAACGGCCAUUGAUACUGCAGGACUUGAAUUAUUGGGAAGUAACUAGAAUAUGUAGUGUAGCGGUGAAAUGCUUAGAGAUUACAUGGAAUACCAAUUGCGAAGGCAGGUUACUACCAAUUGAUUGACGCUGAUGGACGAAAGCGUGGGUAGCGAACAGGAUUAGAUACCCCAGUAGUCCCUGUCUCUUAUAA
rnacentral:rRNA from 1 species